CGCGGCCUAUCAGCUUGUUGGUGAGGUAACGGCUCACCAAGGCAUCGACGGGUAGCUGGUCUGAGAGGAUGAUCAGCCACACUGGGACUGAGACACGGCCCAGACUCCUACGGGAGGCAGCAGUGGGGAAUAUUGCACAAUGGGCGCAAGCCUGACGCAGCAACGCCGCGUGCGGGAUGAAGGCCCUAGGGUUGUAAACCGCUUUCAGCAGGGAAGAAACUGACGGUACCUGCAGAAGAAGGUGCGGCCAACUACGUGCCAGCAGCCGCGGUGACACGUAGGCGCCAAGCGUUGUCCGGAUUUAUUGGGCGUAAAGAGCUCGUAGGCGGUUCAGUUAGUCGGGUGUGAAAACUCUGGGCUCAACCCAGAGACGCCACCCGAUACUGCUGUGACUAGAGUACGGUAGGGGAGCGGGGAAUUCCUGGUGUAGCGGUGAAAUGCGCAGAUAUCAGGAGGAACACCAGUGGCGAAGGCGCCGCUCUGGGCCGUAACUGACGCUGAGGAGCGAAAGCAUGGGUAGCAAACAGGAUUAGAUACCCUGGUAGUCCAUGCCGUAAACGUUGGGCACUAGGUGUGGGUCUCAACCAACGAGAUCCGCGCCGUCGCUAACGCAUUAAGUGCCCCGCCUGGGGAGUACGG
rnacentral:rRNA from 1 species